rnacentral:lncRNA from 1 species
GUAACUGCAGGGAUAUUGCUUCCUCUAGUGCUUAUUUAUUAUAUGAUGUAUUGUGACAUGCAGCACGAGUAUUAUCUGUUAUCCAUAGUACUAUAUCAUUGAGAAAAUUAAUUCUUUUCAUAUGUCAAGAUGAUCCACCAACAACAGACAACAAUGAAAAGCAUAGAACAACAGUAUUGGCAACAAGUUAUAGUGACAUAGGUCUUCAAUUAUUUGUUGUUGUUUGUGUGAAGAUUGAAAUCAUGGUUUAUUCUAUAAAGAUUUAGAAUUAAGAGAUGAUUACAGAAGAAUAUCUUUGAAAGAUAAAGCGAAACAAGUAAAAUUGCCAUCUAGAAAUAUGGCAAAGAGUUGCCUUGGAGAUUUUUUCCUAAUCUGUUCAUAUAAAAAAUAAGCACAAUAUCAGUUUUGAAAAUACAAGCGAAGGAAACAAUAUUUCUUUGAGUUCACAUAAGUACUGUAUUAUAAUGAAUGAAAAUGAUAAUACAAUACGUAUUAUAAUAACUUGUUGCUAUUCUAUAUGAUUUGAUAAUUUUCAGUGUUCUCCUGUUGAUGUUAUAGGAAAACGUAGAGAAUGAAGAAAGUGAACAAACGUUAUUAUCUGUUAUACAUGCAUCUUUGAAAAAUAUCAAACAUUUAGUAGUGGAAAAUAUAUUUUACAUCAGUAGAAGUGAACUCUUUGUAUGCAAAAUGAGAUAUAGGCAUUUAUUUAAUUUGUAUAAAAUAUAUUUCUUAUCAUCUUUUAUAUUAUUUUGAAAUAUCAUACUUUGUCAUACCAGGCAAAAAUUAUCAUAAAGAUAACAAAUUAUUAUUUAGUGUGUUGCUCAAUAAAUGUGAUGCAAAAAGUUUAAUGAUGAUAUGUGCUGUUAUAAUAAAAGAACAUUCAAUUUUAAAUCUGUAUACUAUGGUACUAAAUGCAAAAAACAACGGAUUUUAAUUGUAUAAAAUACCAUUUAGAAGCUUAUCUUUUAAAGUAUUUUAAUACUUGUAUAAAAAUGAGACAAAAUAGAUUUGAAAAAGAUUUG